UUUAAACCGUUGAAGAGAAUAGUAGCUUAGUAUAGGUUUUUAGAGAGUGGAUGGUUGGUGAAAAUCCAUAACGUAUAUUUUGUGAAUCCGCCUCUGAGGUGUUGUGAUGAGCAAUACGGCUAUGUGUCGUUAAAAUUAUAAGAGGGUUUAUUUAUAAACCAAUUAGGGUGGCAACGCGGAGUCUUUCGUCCCUACU
rnacentral:ncRNA from 1 species